rnacentral:rRNA from 1 species
CGAGCACGCGCGUGUGGCAUAUCAAUAAGCGGAGGAAAAGAAACUAACAAGGAUUCCCUUAGUAACGGCGAGUGAAGCGGGAAGAGCUCAAAUUUGAAAUCUUCAAGGGUUUCCCUUGACGAAUUGUAGUUUAUAGAAGUGUUUUCUGUUAGUAGAGGUGGUAAAAGUUCUUUGGAAUAGGACAUCAUAGAGGGUGAGAAUCCCGUAUUUGACCGUUACUUUCCUAGCUGUGUGAUACACUUUCAAAGAGUCGGAUUGUUUGGGAAUGCAGUCCAAAAUGGGUGGUAAAUUUCAUCUAAAGCUAAAUAUUGGCGAGAGACCGAUAGCGAACAAGUACCGUGAGGGAAAGAUGAAAAGAACUUUGAAAAGAGAGUUAAACAGUACGUGAAAUUGUCAAAAGGGAAGCGUUUGACACCAGUGUUGUUUUUCCGAAAAUCAAUUACGGAAUGUUUUAGUUUUUGAGGAGUUAUGACUUCAUCGGCUUGCUCCUUUCUUUAUGAAACUUUCUUAAUGCACUUUUCGGUUAACAAGUCAACAUCAAUUUCUUUUGCUGUAAAAGGGUAUGAGGAAGGUGGCUUCAUCUUCGGUUAGAAAGUGUUUAUAGCCUUGUACCUCUGCAAGUCGGAGAGAUUGAGGUCUGCAGCGUAGACUCUUCGGGGUUAGAUACAGUUUGUGCUAAGUUAUAGCUUUUCAUAGACAACUUGUUGACUAUGUUUAGUCUUGUAGCUUACUCGCUGAUGCUAUUUUACCUACGCUUAGGAUGUUGAACUCUAUCACACACA